CGGCACCGUCUGGCCCCGCCGGCUGAUUACAGCCAGAGAUCGAGGGGGACCUCGCUGUCCCCCUAGAGGCCGUCAUGCGGGGUUACAGAGGCUGCGACCAAAGUCAUUCCUAGCUCCUCUCUCGGGGCUCCGGAAAGCCGUCCGCGCCUCCAGCCGCACUUUCAGCGCACGCAGGACCUGCCGCGCCCGGUGGCCACACCCGUCCCUCUGCCGGGUGACGCUGCGGGAGAUCUUGCGCCCUGGGGCUCCGGAUCCAGUUCUGGCACGUUGUUGCACCUGUGACUUGUCCUUGGCCUGGCACUGUCCCUCGCCUGGGGGAAGCGGGGGGGUGGGGGGGGGAUGCUCACGUGGUCGCUUUGCUCCCGCAGUCAUGCACUUGGGUGAAAACAGACUGAAGAGUCACGGGAACCAGCUUGUCUCCCCAGUUAUGGCGCAGAGCUGCAAGGAUGGCUGUGGGUCAUUAAUUUCUCCGUGGCUGACCUGUGUUUGUAACGCCGCAGCUGUUGCGAGGGGGAAGGACACUGCUUCGGAUUCAAAUUCUGACUCCUUGCUGCAGUGUGUCACCUUGAGCCAGUCCCAGAUCUCUGCGUUCUCACAAUUGUAAAAUGUUAACAGAGGCUGCCUACCUUGUGGCUGGAAUUAAAUGAAUUAACGUGUGUGAAUGUGACUAGAAUUCAGUACAUGUUCAGGAAAAGCUGAUUUCCGCUUUGCUGUUACCGUGAAUAUUACUGUUUUAGGGUGUAGAAAAGGGUGGAAGGGGAUGUUAUUGCAUCCUGGAAGCUUAUCCUUUUGAGUCUGUCCACAGGCGUACUUUUAUAGGUCUGUGAUAGUAGGUAGCUCUUCA
rnacentral:lncRNA from 10 species